AUUGAACGCUGGCGGCAUGCUUUACACAUGCAAGUCGAACGGCAGCGCGGGGCAACCUGGCGGCGAGUGGCGAACGGGCGAGUAAUAUAUCGGAACGUACCCAGAAGUGGGGGAUAACGUAGCGAAAGUUACGCUAAUACCGCAUACGAUCUACGGAUGAAAGGAGGGGACCGCAAGGCCUUAUGCUUUUGGAGCGGCCGAGAUCUGAUUAGCUAGUUGGCGAGGUAAAGGCUCACCAAGGCGACGAUCAGUAGCUGGUCUGAGAGGACGACCAGCCACACUGGAACUGAGACACGGUCCAGACUCCUACGGGAGGCAGCAGUGGGGAAUUUUGGACAAUGGGCGCAAGCCUGAUCCAGCAAUGCCGCGUGAGUGAAGAAGGCCUUCGGGUUGUAAAGCUCUUUUGUCAGGGAAGAAACGGUAGAGGCUAAUAUCCUUUGCUAAUGACGGUACCUGAAGAAUAAGCACCGGCUAACUACGUG
rnacentral:rRNA from 1 species